UGCCAAGGCCCCCGUCACUCGGGCAACCCCAGACGACCCCCGCAGCGCCGCCACCAAUGCCGGGACCAGAAUUCUCCUCCUCUUCCCCCAAGCACCGAGGCCCACCCAGUCUCCACCAACCCUGGCUCUGCUCGCGCUCACGCGACUGGACCCGUGGCCUCACCGCUGUCCAGCAUCCUUUCCGAGCACAGCAGGCGCGGAGGAGGCGCUGCCAAAACCCAGAGAAUAGAGCCUAGUGGAGGCCACGGGAGGAGGAGGACGGACGUAGAGCAAGGUCGGGAGAUGGGUCGGGACCACGCCGUGCCUUGUUAAGGCUGCAUAAGUGGCUUCGACCCAGACUCGGCCUUGAACUACGAAGUGACCUUGGGCCAGUUCCCUCCACUCGUGGGGCCUCGGUUCCCUUCUGUGAAAUCACACCGGCAGUAAACGAUGAGUGCUGAACGUUUCACCUGGGGCCACGCGGCCGCGUGAUCAACCCCGGGCCUCCGGUAGCGAUAAUAAAGGACCUUGUUCCUGGAGGCGCGCACGGAGGAAACGAGAGGCCAGCAGAGGGUGGCGGCUGCAGACCACCUGGGACCGAGGCAGAGAGAGCAAUCGCUCCAUCUCUGCUUCCUCUUCGGCCGCAGGGCUGUCUAGAGGACACGAUGUCCCUUCCCCACCCGCCUUCCAAGGACCCGGCUCAGUAGCCGCGCCGGGCUAACCCAAACCGAGCAGACUGCGCUGGCGUACAGCACCCGCCCUACCGCGGUGAAGACCCUCCCUCUUACCCCAAAGCAAGCCGGCAGGGGGCUCCGCAGCAAGGGCUGGACGGGUGCGCUCGUCUGAACCCGUAGCUCUGCAGGUGCUCGCGCUUCUGGCUUGGAGUUGGCUCGUUGCCUAGGCUCUCCAAGACCCUCUCCCGACCCCUAAAACCGCGGCCUCCUGCUUCUGACACCCGGAUGUGCCUUACACACACUCCGGUGCGUGCGUUAGGGCUGCGCCGGGCGGGGCCCGACGGCAGACAGCGCGGAGGCGGGGAGUGCUCAGGCGCAGCCUCCUUAGCCCUCCUUAUCCCGGCUGGCUCUGCUCCAGUCAAGGGUGCCCAUAAUCUCUAGACACCCCGGAGGUAAACCUGCUCAUGCAGGGCCAUCCUGAUCCAAGCCUGGUACAGAUCCUCGCUGUCAUCUGAUCUUCGCUUCCUGGAUCCUGAGGGGAGGCAAAAGGUGCGAGAAGGUUUCAGCCCCCCACCCCCACCCCCAAAACCAGGGGAGAUGGUGCCGCUCCAGGAAGUGAAGAAACCGCGUAGAGGACGAGACUUCUUCCAGGUCUUUUGUAUUUGCUGUCUUUAAAGCUCAUCGGGGCUAAAUUGGUCUGCAGGGGCAGCCACCCAUAAGUGACUCCUCAAAUCCUACUACCUGUUUCCAUUAUGAGAAUCAGGCUGAGGAACGGCACCAGCAUCUAAUAGCGAGCGCUGAAGACAGGGAGAAUCCUGAAAAUAGAACGCCUUGGUUCUCUGAGCCCAUUUCACAGACUCAAGCCAGACUCAGGUGACCCAGAAUGCCGCUCAGUAGAUGGUGCUGUAAUCCAGAACAAUAAAUCUCUAGACUGUGUACAGUUCUGCCUGCCAAUUUGGGAACAGAAGAAAAGGCUUGGCUGUGAAUCUGAACACAUGAAGCAGAACCUGUGGGAACCAGGUCAUUAUAAACAAGACAUGUGCCAAGAUUCCAUCUCCUUCCUGCACCUCACGUCCAGACGGAAAACCUGGGGGUCAGGCCCUUUAG
rnacentral:lncRNA from 1 species